CUCUGCCAGGAUCUGCUACAUCCUACUACACCGGGCAGCUGAGGCACAGGGCUGAAGAGCCGUGCAGAAAAUCUAGAGGGUUUGAUGAGCUCCAGAACACAUACCAACCUGGACUCCCUGAGAUUGCUGUGUUCUUGAAAUGUACCUGAUAUGGAGAAGAACGAAAAGUGAGAUUUUGGAAAGCACUCAGG